UACGUAGGUGGCAAGCGUUGUCCGGAAUUAUUGGGCGUAAAGCGCGCGCAGGUGGGAUCUUAAGUCUGUUCUGAAAGUUCGGAGCUCAACUCCGUGAUGGGAUGGAAACUGGGAUUCUUGAGUAUCGGAGAGGAAAGCGGAAUUCCCCGUGUAGCGGUGAAAUGCGUAGAUAUGGGGAGGAACACCAGUGGCGAAGGCGGCUUUCUGGACGAUGUCUGACACUGAGGCGCGAAAGCUAGGGGAGCGAACGGG
rnacentral:rRNA from 1 species